rnacentral:rRNA from 1 species
AUUGCAACGCUGGCGGCAUGCCUUACACAUGCAAGUCGAACGGUAACAGGGAGCUUGCUCCGCUGACGAGUGGCGAACGGGUGAGUAAUAUAUCGGAACGUACCUUUGAGUGGGGGAUAACUAGUCGAAAGAUAGCUAAUACCGCAUACGAUCUACGGAUGAAAGUGGGGGCUCGCAAGACCUCAUGCUCAUAGAGCGGCCGAUAUCUGAUUAGCUAGUUGGUGAGGUAAAGGCUCACCAAGGCAUCGAUCAGUAGCUGGUCUGAGAGGACGACCAGCCACACUGGGACUGAGACACGGCCCAGACUCCUACGGGAGGCAGCAGUGGGGAAUUUUGGACAAUGGGGGCAACCCUGAUCCAGCAAUGCCGCGUGAGUGAAGAAGGCCUUCCGGGUUGUAAAGCUCUUUUGUCAGGGAAGAAACGGUGAGAGCUAAUAUCUCUUGCUAAUGACGGUACGCUGAAGAAUAAGCACCGCUAAC